CACCAUAACAUUUAUACUCCUAUAAAGUUAUAUAUAAUUUUAUACUAAAAAUAAUUAUGAAGCAAAUACUACGUUAACAAAUAAUAAAAUUAAGGGUAAACUGUUUUUUUAGUCCCGUAACUAAACCCCUUUAUCAUUUUAGUCCCGUAAAUGGAGUAUGUCGCAAAUUAGUCCCAUAAGUGAAAAAUUUUCGCUGUUUUAGUCCUCCGGCGCCGAAGAUGCCCGCGUGGGACUAGUUUGCGAUAGGCUCCAUUUACGGGACUAAAAUGAUAAAGAGGUCAAAUUACGGGACAAAAAACAGUUUACCCUUAAAUUAAUUAUUAUUAAUUUUUAAAUAAAGCAAAGUAUAUUUUAAAAAAAUAAAAUAAAAUAAUACAUUUUCAAUUCAGUUAUGAAUUAACCCUAAAAAUAUACAUACCGCUGCUCACUCCCUUCUCUCUUCCCCUUCACCCCGUCCCUAUCCCCAAAUCCGACCGAUGUUGUCAUCCACCAGCCACAUCCACAACGGUCGCCCACAAGUUCUUUCUAUUUCUUCUUCUUCUUCUCCAUCUCCCAUUUAGCCAUUCUCUCUUUUUUCUUUUUUCUUUUUUUCCUUCAUCUUUCUCCUUCUUCUUCACCCAUCUGCUUCCCUGCUUCGGUUAUCCAUUCUGCUUCUGCACUUCAAUGAUUAUUAAUGUGACCGAUAAACUAUGCGUAGAGUAAUCAUCGAAACAUCGAAGUCUCUGUCCAUCGCGCCUGCCGCCGAUCUCAACCAUUGUCAACCGCCCAGAUAUGUGCACAUGAGGGUUCGGAGCUCGAAGCUAUCAGGGAAUCCUUGAAGACAACAAGAGAAUGCCAUAAUUCUAAGUUAAUUGGUGAUACUACCAAUUUUUAAAGUCUUUGUCACGGAUGUUAUGGUUCCGAAAACUCCACUUAUACUUCCAAAAAAUGCUAGAACAAAGAUCAUUGCUGAGCUGGUCCGCCAACCUUGAUUGCUUUCUUUGUGAUUCUACGAUCAACGAGCUUGGUCGUCUUUAUUAGUCGUUCUUAGUUGGCAUUAAAAUAGUAUUACUGUUUGGUACUAGAUUGAUUUGUUUAUGUAUUAUAUUUUUAAUUUGGGGAUCGUAUAUUACUUGACUAUCAGGUUGGUAUACGACACGGUUGUAGUUGAGUAUGA